UCAAUGGCAGGCCGGGCGGGGGCGUCGCAAGACGCGCCGGUUUCCUGUAAUUCCGGUAAGGCUAACUCCGCUCGGUUCUGCCACCA
rnacentral:antisense_RNA from 1 species